AUGCUAUAUUCUUAAUUAAGUUA
rnacentral:snRNA from 1 species